CUCUCCCCAACAGAUAAAACAAGUCCAUGUUGUAUACAAAUGAUAUUUUACCAAGGCAGAUUUAUGUUGGAAGUGUUUUCUUUUAUUUACGCUCCCUCCCCCUAACAGAUUAAACAAGUCCAUGUUGUAUACAAAUGAUAUUUUACCAAGGCAUAUUUAUGUUGGAAGUGUUUUUUUUUCUUUACGCUCCCUCUCCCUAACAGAUUAAACAAGUCCAUGUUGUAUACAAAUGAUAUUUUACCAAGGCAUAUUUGAUGUUGGAAGUGUUUUCUUUUAUUUACGCCCCAUCUCC
rnacentral:lncRNA from 1 species